AUUGAACGCUGGCGGCAUGCCUUACACAUGCAAGUCGAACGGUAACAGGUCUUCAGAUGCUGACGAGUGGCGAACGGGUGAGUAAUACAUCGGAACGUGCCUAGUAGUGGGGGAUAACUACUCGAAAGAGUGGCUAAUACCGCAUGAGAUCUACGGAUUAAAGCAGGGGAUCGCAAGACCUUGUGCUACUAAAGCGGCCGAUGGCAGAUUAGGUAGUUGGUGGGAUAAAAGCUUACCAAGCCGACGAUCUGUAGCUGGUCUGAGAGGACGAUCAGCCACACUGGGACUGAGACACGGCCCAGACUCCUACGGGAGGCAGCAGUGGGGAAUUUUGGACAAUGGGCGCAAGCCUGAUCCAGCAAUGCCGCGUGCAGGAUGAAGGCCUUCGGGUUGUAAACUGCUUUUGUACGGAACGAAAAGCCCUGGGUUAAUACCCUGGGGUCAUGACGGUGCCGUAAGAAUAAGCACCGGCUAACUACGUGCCAGCCGCCGCGGUAAAAC
rnacentral:rRNA from 1 species